UACAGGGGGGGCAAGCGUUGUUCGGAAUUACUGGGCGUAAAGGGUUCGUAGGUGGCCACUUAAGUCAGACGUGAAAUCCCUCAGCUUAACUGGGGAACUGCGUCUGAUACUGAGUGGCUUGAGUGCAGGAGAGGAAUGCGGAAUUCCAGGUGUAGCGGUGAAAUGCGUAGAUAUCUGGAGGAACACCGGUGGCGAAGGCGGCAUUCUGGACUGUAACUGACACUGAGGAACGAAAGCUAGGGGAGCAAACGGG
rnacentral:rRNA from 1 species